rnacentral:lncRNA from 1 species
CCCGUUUCUCCACCAACUGUAAAAUAUGUAGGAUUUGAAUUAUCAAAAGGACAAAGAAACUUGUUGCCAGAUAGAAAGGAAGCAUUAGCUAGGGUGGCUGUACGCACUACCAGAACACAAUUGCAAGAAUUUUUAGGAAUGGCUGAGUUUUGUUGUAUUUGGAUUCCUAAUUUUGGACUCAUGGCCAAACCGGCAUUUGAGGCUCUUGAAGGAAAUGACAGUGAGCCAUUAAGCUGAACUGAGGAAUACCAUAAUGCCUUCCAUACUGUCAAGGAGAAAUGUUUAACAGCCCCAGCACUUGGUCUCCCAGACAUUAGAAAACCAUUUGAUCUUUUUGUGUGUGAAAGACAGGGUGUAACUGUAGAAUACUAACUCAAAAUUUAGGUGCCAGCAGAAGGCCGAUAGAUUAUUUUUCCAAACAAUUGUGCCUAGUAACUCAAGGAUGACCGGUUUGCCUCCAGGCCCUGGCCACAACCUGUGACCUUUUACAAGAAGCUGAGAAAUUUACCCUGGGCCAGCCUACCAAUGUGCACACUCCACAUUGUAUGCUACUGUUCUUUGAACAAAAAGGAAGAUAUUGGUUUACUUCAGGAAGGUUGGGCAGAAACCAGGCCAUACUGCUUGACAAUCCAAAUGUAAAAUUAAAGGUGAUAUCCACUCUAAACCUAGCCAUUCUGCUCCCAAUAUGACAGGAGAACUUGUCCGUGAUUGUAUACAGAUAAUUGAAAAAGUUUAUUCUAGCAGACCCGACCUGACCGAUCAGCCUUUGGAAUAUCCAGAUAUGGGAGUGUUUACUGAUGGGAGCAGCUUCAUGGAGCUGGGACUCCAAAAGGCCAGAUGUGCAGUAGUGACUCCUCAGGAAAUCCUAGAAGCAGAAGCCCUCCCUCCAGGUGCCUCGGCCGAAAGCUCUCAUGAGUUUGCAGUCAACCUGUCAUCUGGAGCUGCAGUCUAAUCUGGAGAUUUGACUGGGGAAUGAUGAUUCAAAUCUCAUUCACAUGGACCCCUCCACAGGACAGCUUCAUGACAUGGUGAGAAACCCAAGAGAGCAAGAGAAGACUUUCAAGAGGAA